rnacentral:rRNA from 1 species
UACGGAGGGGGCUAGCGUUGUUCGGAAUUACUGGGCGUAAAGCGCGCGUAGGCGGCUUUGUAAGUUAGAGGUGAAAGCCCGGGGCUCAACUCCGGAAUUGCCUUUAAGACUGCAUCGCUAGAAUCGUGGAGAGGUAAGUGGAAUUGGUAGUGUAGCAGUGAAAUGCGUAGAUAUUACCAGGAACACCAAUGGCGAAGGCAGCUUGCUGGGCCACUCCUGACACUGAGGUACGAAAGCGUGGGGAGCGAACAGG